AUUGAACGCUGGCGGCAGGCUUAACACAUGCAAGUCGAGCGGAGAGAGGUAGCUUGCUACUGAUCUUAGCGGCGGACGGGUGAGUAAUGCUUAGGAAUCUGCCUCUUAGUGGGGGACAACAUUUCGAAAGGAAUGCUAAUACCGCAUACGUCCUACGGGAGAAAGCAGGAGAUCUUAGGACCUUGCGCUAAUAGAUGAGCCUAAGUCGGAUUAGCUAGUUGGUGGGGUAGAGGCCUACCAAGGCGACGAUCUGUAGCGGGUCUGAGAGGAUGACCCGCCAGACUGGGACUGAGACACGGCCCAGGCUCCUACGGGAGGCAGCAGUGGGGAAUAUUGGACAAUGGGCGCAAGCCUGAUCCAGCCAUGCCGCGUGUGUGAAGAAGGCCUUAUGGUUGUAAAGCACUUUAAGCGAGGAGGAGGCUACUUUAGUUAAUACCUAGAGAUAGUGGACGUUACUCGCAGAAUAAGCACCGGCUAACCCUGUGCCAGCCGCCGCCGUAAUAC
rnacentral:rRNA from 1 species